rnacentral:rRNA from 1 species
CCUACGGUAGGCAGCAGUGGGGAAUAUUGCGCAAUGGGCGAACGCCUGACGCAGCGACGCCGCGUGAGGGAUGAAGGUCUUCGGAUCGUAAACCUCUGUCAGCAGGGAAGAACGGUCACUGUGCUAAUCAGCAGUGAAUUGACGGUAACUGCAAAGGAAGCACCGGCUAACUCCGUGCCAGCAGCCGAGUUAAUACGGAGGGUGCGAGCGUUAGUCGGAAUUACUGGGCGUAAAGGGCUCGUAGGCGGUAUGUCAAUUCAAGGGUGAAAUCCCCGCGCUCAACGUGGGAACUGCCUUUGAACCUGGCAAACUGGAGUGUGUGAGAGGAUAGUGGAAUCCCAGGUGUAGGAGUG